rnacentral:tRNA from 1 species
GCCGAUGUGGUGGAAUAUGGUAGACACGCUGUCUUGAGGGGGCAGUGGCGCAAGCCGUGCCGGUUCGAGUCCGGCCAUCGGCACCA